rnacentral:rRNA from 1 species
GAUGAACGCUAGCGGCAGGCUUAAUACAUGCAAGUCGAGGGGCAGCACAGAUAGCAAUAUUGGGUGGCGACCGGCAAACGGGGGCGGAACACGUACACAACCUUCCUUUUAGUGUGGGAUAGCCCAGAGAAAUUCGGAUUAAUACCACAUAGUAUAUUGGAGUGGCAUCACUUUGAUAUUAAAUAUUUAUCGCUAAAAGUUGGGUGUGCGUAUGAUUAGGUAGUUGGUAGAGGUAACGGCUCACCAAGCCUUCGAUCAUUAACUGGUGUGAGAGCACGACCAGUCACACGGGCACUGAGACACGGGCCCGACUCCUACGGGAGGCAGCAGUAAGGAAUAUUGGUCAAUGGACGGAAGUCUGAACCAGCCAUGCCGCGUGAAGGAUGACGGCCCUCUGGGUUGUAAACUUCUUUUAUGUGGGACGAAAAAGGGCCAUUUUUGGUCAACUGACGGUACCAUAGGAAUAAGCACCGGCUAACUCCGUGCCAGCAGCAGCCGCGG